AAUGGGUCAUUUAAAAAUAAUUAAUAAUUCACUAAGGAAGCUGCGAUGAAAUUUCAUAUACUAGAGUUUUUUUUGUCUUUUACAUAUCUAAUCAUUUAAUCUCUGAGCCUAUGCCAUCAACACAUAUCUUUCUUUUUUUUGUCAAUAACCAUCAACACAUAUCUUAAAGCACCUUCUUCGAAAUUCCCCUUGGAGGAAAAAAACAUGGACCUCUUUCUUGUUCCCUUGGAUUUUCUCGGAAAAUGAUAUGUAUCUAUUGUCUUCUUACUAAUAUAUCUCUUUCUUCUUUUUGUUUUUUUCGAUAUUCAAUUGUGAUUUUUUUUUUGUUUCUUCCUUCAACAAGCCAAAUUGUAGA
rnacentral:lncRNA from 1 species